GAUGAAGAACGCAGCGAAAUGCGAUAAGUAAUGUGAAUUGCAGAAUUCAGUGAAUCAUCGAAUCUUUGAACGCACCUUGCGCCCUUUGGCUAUUCUGAAGGGCAUGCCUGUUUGAGUAUCAUGAACACCUCAACUCUCAUGGUUUGCCAUGAUGAGCUUGGACUUUGGGGGUCUUGCUGGCCUACGGUCGGCUCCUCUCAAAUGAAUCAGCUUGCCAGUGUUUGGUGGCAUCACGGGUGUGAUAACUAUCUACGCUUGUGGUUUCCCGCCAGGUAACCUUCAGUGAUGGAGGUUCGCUGGGGCUCAUAAAUGUCCCUCCACAGUGAGGACAGCUUUUGAACGUUUGAUCUCAAAUCAGGUAGGACUACCCGCUGAACUUAAGCAUAUCAAUAAGCGGAGGA
rnacentral:misc_RNA from 1 species